UGAACGCUAGCGACAGGCCUAACACAUGCAAGUCGAGGGGCAGCACAAGGAGCAAUCUGAGGUGGCGACCGGCGCACGGGUGAGUAACACGUAUGCAACCUGCCUGUAAGCGGGGAAUAACCCGUUGAAAGACGGACUAAUACCGCAUAAUACUAAAUUACUGCAUGGUAAUUUAUUUAAACAUUUAUGGCUUACAGAUGGGCAUGCGCAUGAUUAGCUAGUUGGAGAGGUAACGGCUCCCCAAGGCAACGAUCAUUAGGGGUUCUGAGAGGAAGGUCCCCCACACUGGUACUGAGACACGGACCAGACUCCUACGGGAGGCAGCAGUGAGGAAUAUUGGUCAAUGGACGAGAGUCUGAACCAGCCAAGUCGCGUGCAGGAAGAAUGUCCUAUGGAUUGUAAACUGCUUUUGCAGGGGAAUAAAGUGCAUCACGUGUGAUGUUUUGUAUGUACUCUGCGAAUAAGGAUCGGCUAACUCCGUGCCAGCAGCAGC
rnacentral:rRNA from 1 species